rnacentral:rRNA from 1 species
GGGAACGGGGGGGUGGCUAAUACAUGCAGUCGAACGCGUUGGCCCAAUUGAUUGAUGGUGCUUGCACCUGAUUGAUUUUGGUCGCCAACGAGUGGCGGACGGGUGAGUAACACGUAGGUAACCUGCCCAGAAGCGGGGGACAACAUUUGGAAACAGAUGCUAAUACCGCAUAACAGCGUUGUUCGCAUGAACAACGCUUAAAAGAUGGCUUCUCGCUAUCACUUCUGGAUGGACCUGCGGUGCAUUAGCUUGUUGGUGGGGUAACGGCCUACCAAGGCGAUGAUGCAUAGCCGAGUUGAGAGACUGAUCGGCCACAAUGGGACUGAGACACGGCCCAUACUCCUACGGGAGGCAGCAGUAGGGAAUCUUCCACAAUGGGCGCAAGCCUGAUGGAGCAACACCGCGUGAGUGAAGAAGGGUUUCGGCUCGUAAAGCUCUGUUGUUAAAGAAGAACACGUAUGAGAGUAACUGUUCAUACGUUGACGGUAUUUAACCAGAAAGUCACGGCUAACUACGUGCCAGCAGCCGCGGUAAUACGUAGGUGGCAAGCGUUAUCCGGAUUUAUUGGGCGUAAAGAGAGUGCAGGCGGUUUUCUAAGUCUGAUGUGAAAGCCUUCGGCUUAACCGGAGAAGUGCAUCGGAAACUGGAUAACUUGAGUGCAGAAGAGGGUAGUGGAACUCCAUGUGUAGCGGUGGAAUGCGUAGAUAUAUGGAAGAACACCAGUGGCGAAGGCGGCUACCUGGUCUGCAACUGACGCUGAGACUCGAAAGCAUGGGUAGCGAACAGGAUUAGAUACCCUGGUAGUCCAUGCCGUAAACGAUGAGUGCUAGGUGUUGGAGGGUUUCCGCCCUUCAGUGCCGGAGCUAACGCAUUAAGCACUCCGCCUGGGGAGUACGACCGCAAGGUUGAAACUCAAAGGAAUUGACGGGGGCCCGCACAAGCGGUGGAGCAUGUGGUUUAAUUCGAAGCUACGCGAAGAACCUUACCAGGUCUUGACAUCUUGCGCCAACCCUAGAGAUAGGGCGUUUCCUUCGGGAACGCAAUGACAGGUGGUGCAUGGUCGUCGUCAGCUCGUGUCGUGAGAUGUUGGGUUAAGUCCCGCAACGAGCGCAACCCUUGUUACUAGUUGCCAGCAUUAAGUUGGGCACUCUAGUGAGACUGCCGGUGACAAACCGGAGGAAGGUGGGGACGACGUCAGAUCAUCAUGCCCCUUAUGACCUGGGCUACACACGUGCUACAAUGGACGGUACAACGAGUCGCGAACUCGCGAGGGCAAGCAAAUCUCUUAAAACCGUUCUCAGUUCGGACUGCAGGCUGCAACUCGCCUGCACGAAGUCGGAAUCGCUAGUAAUCGCGGAUCAGCAUGCCGCGGUGAAUACGUUCCCGGGCCUUGUACACACCGCCCGUCACACCAUGAGAGUUUGUAACACCCAAAGUCGGUGGGGUAACCUUUUAGGAGCCAGCCGCGUAAGUGACAGAUUGG